CAGCUUGUUGGUGAGGUAACGGCUCACCAAGGCAUCGACGGGUAGCUGGUCUGAGAGGAUGAUCAGCCACACUGGGACUGAGACACGGCCCAGACUCCUACGGGAGGCAGCAGUGGGGAAUCUUGCACAAUGGGCGAAAGCCUGAUGCAGCAACGCCGCGUGCGGGAUGAAGGCCCUAGGGUUGUAAACCGCUUUCAGCAGGGAAGAAAAUGACGGUACCUGUAGAAGAAGGUGCGGCCAACUACGUGCCAGCAGCCGCGGUGAUACGUAGGCACCAAGCGUUGUCCGGAUUUAUUGGGCGUAAAGAGCUCGUAGGCGGUUCGGUAAGUCGGGUGUGAAAACUCUGGGCUC
rnacentral:rRNA from 1 species